UACGUAGGGGGCUAGCGUUGUCCGGAAUCAUUGGGCGUAAAGAGCUCGUAGGCGGUUUGUUGCGUCGGCUGUGAAAUCCCGAGGCUCAACCUCGGGUCUGCAGUCGAUACGAGCAAACUAGAGUGUUGCAGGGGAGACUGGAAUUCCUGGUGUAGCGGUGAAAUGCGCAGAUAUCAGGAGGAACACCGGUGGCGAAGGCGGGUCUCUGGGCAACAACUGACGCUGAGGAGCGAAAGUGUGGGGAGCGAACAGG
rnacentral:rRNA from 1 species